ensembl:snoRNA SNORA72 Small nucleolar RNA SNORA72
AUAUGGAUAUUUCCCCUGUUCUGAUUCUGUGGUAAUCAGGACCAGCUAAAAAUACUCUACACUUAAGACUAUGCACGUGUCCCCAUAACUAGUUCUAUCCCUAGGCCUGGUUUUAAAAAGCUGCGGAAAAGA